CCUACGGGUGGCAGCAGUGGGGAAUAUUGCACAAUGGGGGAAAGCCUGAUGCAGCGACGCCGCGUGAGGGAUGAAGGAUUUCGGGAUGGAAAGCUCUAUCAGCAGGGAAGAAAAUGACGGUACCUGACUAAGAAGCCCCGGCUAACUACGUGCCAGCAGCCGCGGUAAUACGGAGGGGGCAAGCGUUAUCCGGAUUUACUGGGUGUAAAGGGAGCGUAGACGGAGGUGAAAGCGAGAGGUGAAAGCGCGGGGCUCAACCCCGAGACUGCAUUUGAAACGGUGCUGCUAGAGUGUCGUAGAGGCAGGCGGAAUUCCUAGUGUAGCGGUGAAAUGCGUAGAUAUUAGGAGGAACUCCAGUGGCGAAGGCGGCCCGCUGGACGAUGACUGACGCUGAGGCUCGAAAGCGUGGGGAGCAAACAGGAUUAGAUACCCGAGUAGUC
rnacentral:rRNA from 1 species